rnacentral:rRNA from 1 species
UACGAAGGGGGCUAGCGUUGUUCGGAUUUACUGGGCGUAAAGGGCGCGUAGGCGGCCACCGCAAGUCGACUGUGAAAUCUCCGGGCUUAACCCGGAAAGGUCAGCCGAUACUGCAGGGCUAGAGUGCAGAAGGGGCAACUGGAAUUCUCGGUGUAGCGGUGAAAUGCGUAGAUAUCGAGAGGAACACCUGCGGCGAAGGCGGGUUGCUGGGCUGACACUGACGCUGAGGCGCGAAAGCUAGGGGAGCGAACGAG